rnacentral:rRNA from 1 species
UGGGUAACCUACCUAUAAGACUGGGAUAACUUCGGGAAACCGGAGCUAAUACCGGAUAAUAUUUCGAACCGCAUGGUUCGAUAGUGAAAGGNGGUUUUGCUAUCACUUAUAGAUGGACCCGCGCCGUAUUAGCUAGUUGGUAAGGUAACGGCUUACCAAGGCGACGAUACGUAGCCGACCUGAGAGGGUGAUCGGCCACACUGGAACUGAGACACGGUCCAGACUCCUACGGAGGCAGCAGCU